AUGAACGCUGGCGGCGUGCCUAAUACCUGCAAGUCGAGCGAACGGACGAGAAGCUUGCUUCUCUGAUGUUAGCGGCGGACGGGUGAGUAACACGUGGAUAACCUACCUAUAAGACUGGGAUAACUUCGGGAAACCGGAGCUAAUACCGGAUAAUAUUUUGAACCGCAUGGUUCAAAAGUGAAAGACGGUCUUGCUGUCACUUAUAGAUGGAUCCGCGCUGCAUUAGCUAGUUGGUAAGGUAACGGCUUACCAAGGCAACGAUGCAUAGCCGACCUGAGAGGGUGAUCGGCCACACUGGAACUGAGACACGGUCCAGACUCCUACGGGAGGCAGCAGUAGGGAAUCUUCCGCAAUGGGCGAAAGCCUGACGGAGCAACGCCGCGUGAGUGAUGAAGGUCUUCGGAUCGUAAAACUCUGUUAUUAGGGAAGAACAUAUGUGUAAGUAACUGUGCACAUCUUGACGGUACCUAAUCAGAAAGCCACGGCUAGCUACGUG
rnacentral:rRNA from 1 species